AAUAAGUGCAGAUUUAGCACUAUUCAUGUUUAACGUUUGACCGUUUGUUUUAUUUAAAAAAAGAUUAUGAUUAGUAUUUUUAUUAUUAUUAGAUGAUAAAACAUGAAUAGUACUUUAUGUGUGACUAAUUUUUUUAAUAUUUUUCAUAAAUUUUUCAAAUAAGACGUUUGACCAUCCGUCUUAUUUGAAAGAUGGUCAAAACNNNNNNNACUAAACACGGAUAUUUAUGGCUGCACUUAUU
rnacentral:pre_miRNA from 1 species